rnacentral:lncRNA from 1 species
GCUCUCCGUCUGAAAACCUUGGCCGAAAGGGUUGUAGACAUGGCGGCCAUCAGGAUGGGAAAACUGACAACCAUGCCUGCAGGUCUGAUAUAUGCAUCUGUAAGUGUACAUGCAGCCAAACAAGAGGAAUCCAAAAAGCAGCUAGUGAAACCAGAGCAGCUCCCCAUAUAUACUGCACCACCGCUCCAGUCUAAAUAUGUUGAAGAGCAGCCUGGUCAUUUACAAAUGGGCUUUGCUUCCAUCCGCACUGCAACUGGUUGUUAUAUUGGCUGGUGCAAGGGUGUUUAUGUCUUUGUGAAAAAUGGGAUAAUGGAUACAGUACAAUUUGGAAAAGAUGCUUAUGUCUAUCUGAAGAAUCCUCCUCGAGAUUUUCUUGCGAAAAUGGGAGUUAUUACAGUUUCAGGAUUGGCGGGCUUGGUUUCAGCGAGAA